rnacentral:rRNA from 1 species
AGGACGAACGCUGGCGGCGUGCCUAACACAUGCAAGUCGAGCGCCCCGCAAGGGGAGCGGCAGACGGGAGAGUAACACGUGGGAACGUACCUUUCGGUUCGGAACAACCCAGGGAAACUUGGGCUAAUACCGGAUACGUCCGUAAGGAGAAAGAUUUAUCGCCGAAAGAUCGGCCCGCGUCUGAUUAGCUAGUUGGUGAGGUAACGGCUCACCAAGGCGACGACGCGUGGCCGGACUGAGAGGUUGGCCGGCCUCAUUGGGACUGAGACACUGCCCAGACUCCUACGGGGGGCUGCAGUAACGAAUCUUCCGCAAUGCACGAAAGUGUGACGGAGCGACGCCGCGUGUAGGACGAAGUCCUUCGGGAUGUAAACUACUGUCAGGGUUACCAAGUUCUGAGGAGCCCCAGAGGAAGGCACGGCUAACUCUGUGCCAGCAGCCGC